GAACUAUAUUAUCAACAGGUACUAUUCAAUUAUUUUGCAUAUAUGCCUUCUACUGUGCUAAAAUAUGUUGAUUUUUAGAAACGCAUCGGAGUUCUCUUGGGUGUGAAAACCUGACAUCCAUCUUGGAAUUUGUUUUCUCAAAAUCUUGAGGUAAAUGUAAGCAAAGGUCUGACCACACGCUCAACAAAUGAGUUGGGGUAUCUGAUUCUUCACAGUGAAUUCACCUUUAUAGGCUGGGGCACAUUUUUCAUAGAUGUUUUAAUCCUGUAGGUGAGAACUUGAGACACUGCCUGUAAUUGAUAGAAGAACGUGUGGCCCUGUAUCCCAUCCCAGUCCGUGUGGAGGCAGCUGGCUUUGAUGAUUCUAUUCGCACUGACCUCAACCCCGGAAGGUGCUGGGCUCCUCUGUAUCAUGUCGUUUCCUCCCUGUCUGGCACACUGAGGACUCCAGGUGGCUUUGCUAGUGGAGAUGGCUCUGAGGAGCCUACUCCAGCCUCUCCUUCAAGGCACUCAUGCUGUGUGCUGGCUUACCCCAAGACUCGGCACCUCUGGAAGCUUCCCACCAUCUUUGCAAUGUGCGACACAUUUAUAAAGUAUUUGAAAAAGGAACUGGAUCUUCUGAAAAAAAAAAAAAGGAAAGAAAAAAAGAAUGGAAAUAUGAUAAACAGUGGUUCUUCUUGAGUGUGAGAUUAUGGGUGAUCUUUUCUCUGAUACUUUACAUUUUUCUAAAUUUCUCAAGCAAACUCACUAAUUUCUGUGACUGGUGUGCUGCACUCAGACGGUGGAAUCAUUUUGGAAUCCUCUGA
rnacentral:lncRNA from 1 species